UUAUAAUGAAUUUCCAAAGUCGGAACAGGGAAUCUAGAAACCGUUCUGGCCCUGUAUUACGAAAACUUAAAUAUCUCAUAAUAUACUGUUCAUAUAAUCGUUUCGUUACUUUCCUAUGAAAAUAGAUUCAUUAAGGUUCUAUUACAUAGUUUAUUCACUAUUUAAUUCCAUUCCUACUAUUUUUAGUGAUUUUUCACAUUC
rnacentral:lncRNA from 1 species